rnacentral:ncRNA from 1 species
CUGGGAAGCGCACGGCCGCAAAUCUGACUCGUCGUCCACGCCACCCACUCGGUGUCGGUCGGGCGACUCGAGAUUGCGGAAGUGC